UACGUAGGGGGCAAGCGUUGUCCGGAUUUACUGGGCGUAAAGAGCGUGUAGGCGGCCACGCAGGUCCGUUGUGAAAACUGGAGGCUCAACCUUCAGACGUCGACGGAAACCGUAUGGCUAGAGUCCGGAAGAGGAGAGUGGAAUUCCUGGUGUAGCGGUGAAAUGCGCAGAUAUCAGGAAGAACACCAAUGGCGAAAGCAGCUCUCUGGGACGGUACUGACGCUGAGACGCGAAAGCGUGGGGAGCGAACAGG
rnacentral:rRNA from 1 species